rnacentral:rRNA from 1 species
GCUUGUCUCAAAGAUUAAGCCAUGCAUGUCUAAGUAUAAGCAAUUUGUACUGUGAAACUGCGAAUGGCUCAUUAAAUCAGUUAUAGUUUAUUUGAUCUUACCUUACUACUUGGAUAACCGUGGUAAUUCUAGAGCUAAUACAUGCAAAAAUGGGCGACUUCUGGAGAGAUGCUUUUAUUAGAUCAAAACCAAACGGCUUCGGCCGUCUCAUUGGUGACUCUGAAUAACUUUGGGCUGAUCGUAUGGCCUUGUGCCGACGACGUUUCCUUCGAAGGUGUGCCCUAUCAACUGUCGACUGUGAUAUAGACGCUCACAGUGGUUUUGACGGGUAACGGGGAAUCAGGGUUCGAUUCCGGAGAGGGAGCCUUAAAAACGGCUACCACAUCCAAGGAAGGCAGCAGG